GACGAACGCUGGCGGCGUGCCUAAUACAUGCAAGUCGAACGCAGUGGGGACGGGUGAGUAACACGUGGGUAACAUCCCAUCAGAGGGGAUAACACUUGGAAACCGUUGCUAAACAGAUACUGAUGCCUGGACGCGCGUUGCCGUAGCUAGUUGGUGAGGUAACGGCUCACCAAGGCCACGAGGAAUAGACGACCUGAGAGUGUGAUCGGCCACACUGGGACUUAGAGACGGCCCAGACUCCGUCGGGAGGCAGCAGGAGGGCAUCAGCGGCAAUGGACGAAAGUCUGACCGAGCAACUCAGCGUGAUGGAAGAAGUUUUUCGGAUCGUAAAACUCUGUUGUUAGAGGAGCGGUAUCUAACCAGAAAGCCACGGCUAACUACGUGCCAGCAGCCGCGGUAAUAC
rnacentral:rRNA from 1 species